rnacentral:rRNA from 1 species
UUAGAAUGCAGUCGAACGGGAUGAAGUUGUAGCAAUACCGCUUCAUUCAGUGGCGCACGGGUGCGUAACACGUGAGUUACAUGCCCUGCAGUGGGGAAUAGCCCGCCGAAAGGCGGAUUAAUACCCCAUGGUCCCGCAAGGGUAAAGGUGGCCGCAAGGCUGCCGCUGCAGGAUCGGCUCGCGGCCUAUCAGCUUGUUGGUGAGGUAACGGCUCACCAAGGCGACGACGGGUACCUGGUCUGAGAGGAUGAUCAGGCACACUGGAACUGAGACACGGUCCAGACACCUACGGGUGGCAGCAGUCGAGAAUAAUUCACAAUGGGGGAAACCCUGAUGGUGCAACGCCGCGUGGAGGAUGAAGGUCUUCGGAUUGUAAACUCCUGUCAUCGGGGAGUAAGACCUGGGCGUGAAUAGCGCACAGGGUUGAUAGUACCCGAAGAGGAAGGGACGGCUAACUUCGUGCCAGCAGCCGCGGUAAUACGAAGGUCCCAAGCGUUGUUCGGAAUCACUGGGCGUAAAGGGAGCGUAGGCGGCGUGGUAAGUCAGAUGUGAAAUCCCGGGGCUCAACCCCGGAACUGCAUCCGAUACUGCCGUGCUUGAGGGUUGGAGAGGUAGCUGGAAUUAUCGGUGUAGCAGUGAAAUGCGUGGAUAUCGAUAGGAACACUCGUGGCGAAAGCGAGCUACUGGACAACAUCUGACGCUGAGGCUCGAAGGCUAGGGGAGCAAAAGGGAUUAGAUACCCCUGUAGUCCUAGCAGUAAACGGUGUGCGCUUGGUGUGAGGGGAAUUCGACCCCCCCUUGGUGCCCGGAGCUAACGCGUUAAAGCGCCACUCGCCCUGGGAAGUACCGGUCCGCAAGG